AAUGACAAAAAAAAAAAAAAAAAAAUCAGAAUUGGAGGCACCCACUGUCUCAUCCCCCACCGCCCCCUCGCUCCCCGGCCUACUCCAAUCUGGCUUCCGGAUUCCAAGGACUCUCUGCUCCCAGCAGCUGCCCGCCUCUCUGGACCUCCUCGGCCACGCCUCCGAAGUCCCGGGGUGACCAGUGGCCUCCCCUGCAGGAGAUGCCCAGAUGGAGACACCGAGGCACCGGCAGCUGAAGCAGCCUGGGGUCUGGUGCCAGGGGGCCGAGGAGAAUCCAGGCCUCCUGGGCCAGCGUGUGUCCUACCCCGGCCCCACCUCCCCCUAAGUAGACCUUUCCCAGAUGCUGGGGUAAGAGCUUCUGCUCCAGCGCCCUGGACGAGCCCAAGGUCACCCAGCCCUUGGGACACCAGGCCCCGGGCUCCUCCUCCCCGUGGGCGUCGGCCGGACUCCAGCAGCCCCCUUCACGGGGUUCAGGAAGCGCCCCUCCACGCGUGAUCCACCCGCAAGCCGGCUCUGCAGGGGUGCAGUCAGAGCCCCGCGUCAGCCAGGCCUCCUGGGGCUCCCGCGGACACGCUGCACGCGUGAGGAAGGGAGGUCAGAAGCAGCCAACCGUUCGCAGCCUCACCAGCUCACGGCGUGUGGGCGGGUGUUCCUCCGGCUGUGGAGAGCGGCUGCCCAGAGCCCGGUGCGGUUAAGCCGUGCCUCUGCGUAGUAGGUCGGUGCAAAGAUGUUUACGGAGGCGCGUGAGUUCCAAACGACGCUACUGCCCUGGUAAGUAAUCGCAUCACCUCAUAAAAGAGUUAAUGUGGUCCAGGUCAGCGCUAUAUCUGGGGCUGGGGAUCAGGGCUGAGUCGGGACUAGGAUCAGGCUCAGCCUGGGGCUGGGAUCAGAGCUCAGCCUGGGGCUGGGGAUCAGGGCUGAGUCUGGGACUAGGAUCAGGGCUGAGUCUGGGACUAGGAUCAGGGCUCAGCCUGGGGGGUGGGAUCAGGGCUGAGUCUGGGUCUGGAAUCAGAGCUCAACCUGGGGCUGGGGAUCAGGGCUGAUUCUGGGGCUGGAAUCAGGGCUCAGUCUGAGGCUUGGAUCAAGGCUGAGUCUGGGGCUGAGGUCAGGGCUCAGCCUGAGGUAAGGAUCAGGGCUGAGUCUGGGACUAGGAUCAGGGCUCAGCCUGGGGCUGGGGAUCAGGGCUGAGUCUGGGGCUGGAAUCAGAGCUCAACCUGGGACUGGGGAUCAGGGCUGAGUCUGGGACUAGGAUCAGGGCUGAGUCUGGGACUAGGAUCAGGGCUCAGCCUGGGGCUGGGGAUCAGGGCUGAGUCUGGGGCUGGAAUCAGAGCUCAACCUGGGGCUGGGGAUCAGGGCUGAGUCUGGACUAGGAUCAGGGCUUCAGCCUGGGGCUGGAAUCAGGGGCUGAGUCUGGACUAGGAUCAGGGCUCAGCCUGGGGCUGGGGAUCAGGGCUGAGUCUGGGGCUGGAAUCAGAGCUCACCUGGGGCUGGGGAU
rnacentral:lncRNA from 1 species